rnacentral:rRNA from 1 species
AAGGCCUUCGGGUUGUAAAGCUCAGUCACUCGGGAAGAGCGGGCGAAGGAGUGGAAAGCCUUCGUCGAGACGGUACCGAGAGAGGAAGCCCCGGCUAACUACGUGCCAGCAGCCGCGGUAAUACGUAGGGGGCAAGCGUUGUCCGGAAUCACUGGGCGUAAAGCGUGCGUAGGCGGUCGCGUGUGUCUGGGGUGAAAGUCCAGGGCUCAACUCUGGGAUUGCCUUGGAAACUGCGUGACUUGAGUGCUGGAGAGGCAAGGGGAAUUCCGCGUGUAGCGGUGGAAUGCGUAGAUAUGCGGAGGAAUACCAGUGGCGAAGGCGCCUUGCUGGACAGUGACUGACGCUGAGGCACGAAAGCGUGGGGAGCAAACAGGAUUAGAUACCCUGGUAGUCA